ACUCUGUAGGUGCCCCGGGGCACAGGCAAGCGGACGAGCCAGUUAUCCCUCAGAGCUCCUGCUGCCUCGCCCGCUUUCUCUCGGAAACGUGAAGUGUGGCCUCAGCUGAAAGUGAGGUGGGCCUCAUUCAAUCAGUUGAAUUCUUCAAGAGAGAAAAACUGAAGUCCCUUAGAAGGAAAGAGUUCUGCCUUCAGACUGUCUUUGAACUUAAGACUGUAGCGUCGACUCCUGCCGGAAUUUCCAGCCUGCUGGCCAGCUCUGCAGAUUCACACUUGCCAGCCUCCACAAUCGCAGCUGAGGCGGAGGAACCCUAAGGGCUCAUUGAGAUCAUGGAUUUGCCCUUCUAUGCAUUGAUGGAGCACCUGCUGCCCACAGCGUCUGUAUUUGGUGCUGGGAUGCUGAGGACACUGAGAUCUUCAAACAGAGGCUGCCACUCUAAGCAAACAGAUCCCGAGCCCUGGACUCUGAAGCUUGGGCCCAGUUCUCCUUUUCUCCGGGUUUCAGAUCCCACUGUGAAGUGAGGGGACCCUUCUGGGUGUAAAGUUCUCUGAGAUGCCUUACAUGGAUUCCCACCACUGCAAGAUAACCAUCGUGUAAGUAUUCUGAUUGUUUUUCUUCCUCUCUGAUAAGGUUUUAAAAGUAAUAAAGGAAGAUGCCCCAAGGAAACAAGAUAACGGGAUUAAAGUGAGAAAAGGAGAGAACAG
rnacentral:lncRNA from 1 species